AGAAUGCCAGUGUCUGGGGAAGCCAGCAGACUCCAGGUAUGUCCUUUCCUUGGGGAGGGGAACUUUUGUCCUGAUGGAUAGUGAAACUGGUUUGCACUUCGUAACUUCAAAAGAAUCCUUCUGCCAAGCAGCCUGUCAGAGCCUGAUGAAUGGAACUCCAUCGCGCUCCUCACCUACCCAACUUUGCCUCCACAUCCUCCGCCCCGCUCCCUCCAGCAGGCCGGGAAGCUGUUCCCGAUGUGGGGGUGCUGUGGACCAUCUGCAAAUCGAGAACUCCAGCAGCCCCCGUCUCACGUGGCUCCACUGGACAGGUCUGUGGAACCUCCACAUCACACCGUCCUUAAGAACCCCUCCAGCUCCCACGUUCUGAGAUUCACUGAGGAGCUCAGGCCGACGGAGGUGCUGGGUGCUCCUGGUCUCAGGCAGCAGGUCGGGACGCUGAGGGGCAGCUCCCCACUGGGGCCCCCGACGAGGCCACACUGAGCCCCAGGCUCGGAAGACCCCAGGGCCCGCCCUGCUGUGCGGGUACCAUCCUUUGCCUCCGUCAGCAGCCCCGCACGGCCUGCCCGGAGCUGCCUUCCUGAGUGGAGUGGUGAAAGCCGGGCUGAGUGCCAGCCCUUAGGGAUAGCUUCCCAGCUUCCCGCAGCCAGGAGGGGGCAGGGCGGGGACACGGUGAUGAUGUGGGAUGGGGAAGAGGAUGACAGCUUCCCGUCCAUCAGAGCAUCAGAGGCUGACAGGCUGCUGACAGGGAAGGGAGGGGUGCAGAGCUGGCCUUGCCGGGCGGAGCUGGGGGAGAGGGCUGGCAUUUCCCGGGCACUGGCUGCUGGGCCUCUCCUGGAAACAGGCCCCCCCCAGCAGGGCUGGGGGGGCGGCUGGAUGCCACCUCCCACAUUCCACAGCCUGUGGGUGCUGACUCCCAAAGGCAGGGAGUUGGCUGAGGGAGGGAAGAAGUCACAGCAAAACACGAAAGGAAGACCUUUGCAAUAAGGGUGCUGUUUGUCUCUGGAGAGCUCCCCGCUCCCCUAAAAAUGCAGGAAGCAUGUAAGUCAGAGGCCAAGAAGAACAUCCUGACUCGGCCAGUUGCCAGCCUGGGAAUUGUAUUAUCAGAGAGGGGCGUGCAAACCUGUGCAGAGGUUGCUAUUUCUGAUUUUAGAGUCAUCUGUAUGAAUUCUCAUUUACUCUUUCACUCAUUCAACCUUAUGUACCUUACUGUGUGCCUGGCUGAGACCUGGGACAAUGAAGAUAAAUAAGACUCGGCCCCUGCCCUGAAGGAGCGUGUGAAUGAGACAAGACAUGGGCCCAACGACUGUCACACGCCAGAGCUGGUGCUGCCAUCACAGAGGGAUCGACAACGGGCAGCAGGGAUAAGAGGAGGGAGAGGGGAGAGGACACUUGGGACCCAGGGGAUCCCAGAAGGCUUCCUGUAGGAGGAGGCAUCUGAACCGGGCCUUAUGGUAUCUCAAGCUCCCCGGGAGGAGAGAGGAUGGCGUGGACAGAGACUCGGAGGUGGGAGAGUGAAGGUCCAGGCAGAAGUGAAGACCACCAUGUGGCUGGGUUCCCUGGUUUGGGCAGGGGUGCUGAGACAGUUGUGGUGGCCAGGGAGGGCUGGGCCACCUGACCCGCACCUGGCCGGUCAGUGCAGUCCACUCCCCUGCCUACGUGGUUGGUUCCAGAACGGCACGAGCUCCAGGACGGCCCAGUGAAAAUCGGCCUCGGGACCUCUGCUGCAGUCACCCCUGCAGCUGCUGUCAUUUAUAACCAAGUUGGUUCAGGCUCUGCUCCCAGAAGGUUAUAUAUUUCUCGCAGUGCUGGGGGCUGGAAUUCCUAGGUCAGGGCGCCAACAAGGUGGUGUGGUCUGGCGUGAGCCCUGGUGCUGGGUUGCAGAGGGCUGUCCACUUGCUGUGGCCUCACGUGGUGGAGAGCAGAGACGUUCUGGCCCCUGCGUCCCCUUAUAAGGGCGCCCAUCCCACGCUGGGGGCUCCACCUCUGUGACCUCACCCAAACCCAGUGACCUCCCAAAGGCCCCACCCCUCAAGUGCCCCAUGUGAGAUUAGGGCUGCAACAUUUGUGUUUGGGGGGACACACCCAUCCCAUCCACAGCAGAGUUACUCUGUGCUCCUCCGAUAGGGGAGAUGCAGAGACGGGGACACCAGGACCAGGGACAGCUGGGUCGAGGCCCCGCUCUGCCCCGCACUCACCGUGCAGCCUGGGACACGUGGCUGCCUUCCCGUCGGGGGCCUCAGUUUCCGUGCUUGUGGAAGAAGGAACUCAGAUGAACAUUGAGGCCCCGCCAGCGCGUCCACCCUGAAUUGACCCAUCUCUCAUGCGCACCUCUGCAUCCUGGUGUCACCGUCUCGUGUGGGCGUGGACGGGGCGUGGUGGGGGGAGCUCUGCUGAAUAUCCCAGCACGAGAGCAUGGGAAACCGUAACAAUCAUUGCGUGCGAUUUCUGGGCCCACCUGGCUGUGCCUCUGCGUCCCUCCCUGCACAAGACUGGGGGAGAUUUUUGAUGGGCUUUGCAUCUUGCAAGGAGGCAGAACCCCGCCUGGCUCUCCCUCUCCGUUUGCAGUGGAGACUCGGAGGUGGCCCAGCUGGAGCCCGGGACGUGGAGGCUUGCAGCCUCUGCCUCCCCCAGCAUCUCCUCCAUCUCUGUUCCCCACCAGGCUGGGAAGUUCAUUAUUUCCCCGACCUACUCUUCUGGUGAGACUGAAAUUAAUUUCCCAUCUCCUCCCCUCCCAAGCCUUGCAAUCAUUAAAUG